UAUACCAUUACUUUAUUAAAAAAAAUUACCUUUCUUUAUUUUUUUUCUUUACUUUUUCCUUCUCUCCGUCUUCUUCUUCCCCUCUUUUUCUUUUUCCUUUUUCUUCCUUCUGCGCCUCCUUCCCCUUCUUCUUCUUCUUCUCUUCUCUUCUUCUUUUCUUCUUCUCUCAUUCUUCUUUCCUGCAGCUUCAUUUUGCCACUUUGGGGACCAUUAUAAUGGUCCCAAAGACAAAGAAAGACAAAAAAUACAGGCUGGGGUGCCGCCUGUGACAGUGGUACCUUUGGUGCCACCUUUGUCACUGGCACCUUUGGUGCCGCCUGUGACAAACCCUCGACCAAAGUCCUAUCACUUCCGUCAAUCUUUUUUUUACUGUUUGUACAAUUUUGAUACAUAAUAAAAUGAUUGUGCUAUUUUAACAUUAUUUUAAUUUUUUUGUAUUAUUUGUGUAAAAAACCCAACGAUGGUAUACUCAGAUCAUAAAGUA
rnacentral:lncRNA from 1 species